rnacentral:lncRNA from 1 species
CGACCCACCGGUAACAACUCCUCCAAUAAAUCAUGUCCCAUCGACUUUGGCUAUGUCUUAAGAGUCCCAUGGCCCAUUUCUGAUUGCCAAAACUUCCCAAAUCCAUCUCAAAGCACCAAUAAGAGCCAGUGCUGCCAAACCCUCUUGAGCCUUUUUGGGAUAGGCCUUUCUCAAAACCUUAAAAAAACCUCCUUUUUUCAGCUCUCAGAUUUACCCAUUUCAGUCUCUUGCAUAUCUGAUUUUCAAUCAAAUCUCAACUCUUUAGCUCUCCCUUCUAAGACCUCUGUCUGUUUUGAUCCUUAUGAGUUUAUUAGCACACCCGAUAUUUGUGCUUCCAUUCAAACCACUAAAGAUUGGCUAGCCAAGCUUGGCUCAACAACUCCACUUGACUCGGCUUGCCGGUCGGACCUAACUGAUCUGACUGCCUGUGAUGCCUGCGUGGCGGCCGGAUUAAGGGUUCAGGCCAAUUUGAUUGCAAUUGAUGGUAAUAGAUCUCAUUCCACUGAAUGUUUUUACUUUACUGUUCUGAACCUCAAAUACAAGUUGUGAGUCAGAGUAGCAUAAGUUUAGAUGAAACUGUACGAGCCGUAGAGUUCCCGAACAUCGACGGCCAGUGCCAGCCCAUUCAUGACUAUCAGCUCGUCGGACUUCCGGUGGCUGUAACCGGAGAUUCUGUCGUCCGAAGUGAAGAGCCACUGCUUCUAGUGUGGAACUUAAGACGGAAGUUAAGCGGAAACGAGGGAGGCCACCACGGGGUCAGGCGAAACCACGGGCAGAGAAGAAGGAAGAUUGUGGCCGGAGAUCUGGAAGUAGAAUCUGGAGAUCUGGAGAUCUAGAGAGAAGGAGGAGCAUUUUAAUUCUGAUUAUGGAAUUGACAUUUUCUCUCCAAUUAUUUUAGUAUUUUAGUAUUUUACAUAUUAGUAUUUAAUCCGUCUAUGUGACAGCCACGUAAGUAAAAUAUGUCUAAGUGUUAACUCCGUUUGUCUAUUUGGUAUGUCUGUCAACGGCAGGGGUAUAAUCGAUCCAAAAAUUGUAACGUUAGGGGUACUUUUGGACAAAAAAAAAGUAUAGAGUGUUCGGUAGACAUCGCGGUAAAAGUCAGGAGCAUUUUUGACCCUUCUCCCUUUAAAUCCAGAGUGAAAGACUAUUAGAACAACAAAACUAAACAUGUUAAACAAUAUCUCGAAUGGAAUUCCAGUUUUUAACAAGCCAAAACUCAACCAUAAACACAUACUACUUUACAAUCCUCACCCUGCUCUACUACAACCCCCGAAAAAAAAACAUAGUUAGUGAUUAUGUAUACACCCCCCACUCCUCCAAAAAAAAUAUAGUAAUUAUGUAUACACCCCCACCCCCACUCCCACCCCCCAAAAAAAUAAUAUUUAUUAUGUAUANNNNNNNNNNNNNNNNNNNNNNNNNNNNNNNNNNNNNNNNNNNNNNNNNNNNNNNNNNNNNNNNNNNNNNNNNNNNNNNNNNNNNNNNNNNNNNNNNNNNNNNNNNNNNNNNNNNNNNNNNNNNNNNNNNNNNNNNNNNNNNNNNNNNNNNNNNNNNNNNNNNNNNNNNNNNNNNNNNNNNNNNNNNNNNNNNNNNNNNNNNNNNNNNNNNNNNNNNNNNNNNNNNNNNNNNNNNNNNNNNNNNNNNNNNNNNNNNNNNNNNNNNNNNNNNNNNNNNNNNNNNNNNNNNNNNNNNNNNNNNNNNNNNNNNNNNNNNNNNNNNNNNNNNNNNNNNNNNNNNNNNNNNNNNNNNNNNNNNNNNNNNNNNNNNNNNNNNNNNNNNNNNNNNNNNNNNNNNNNNNNNNNNNNNNNNNNNNNNNNNNNNNNNNNNNNNNNNNNNNNNNNNNNNNNNNNNNNNNNNNNNNNNNNNNNNNNNNNNNNNNNNNNNNNNNNNNNNNNNNNNNNNNNNNNNNNNNNNNNNNNNNNNNNNNNNNNNNNNNNNNNNNNNNNNNNNNNNNNNNNNNNNNNNNNNNNNNNNNNNNNNNNNNNNNNNNNNNNNNNNNNNNNNNNNNNNNNNNNNNNNNNNNNNNNNNNNNNNNNNNNNNNNNNNNNNNNNNNNNNNNNNNNNNNNNNNNNNNNNNNNNNNNNNNNNNNNNNNNNNNNNNNNNNNNNNNNNNNNNNNNNNNNNNNNNNNNNNNNNNNNAUAUAUAUAUAUAUAUAUAUAUAUAUAUAUAUAUAUAUAUAUAAAGACCCAGCACAAGAAAGAAGGCUAACGAGAAAGAAAAAAAAAACCAACACCCUGUUAUUAUAUUAUCAGACAGUGCCAUCAGUCUUUUCCACAUAAGAGAAACCAUACUUACAGUGAUAAGCAGCCGAGCAGUAAGAAGAAAAAGGGGAAGAAAAAAAACGAAGACAUACUUGGUAAUUGCCAAUCAGAGUUGCCUCACCGCGCUCGGCGCCACUCGCCUCUCGUUCAGUCGCAGUCCAGUCGACUUCACCGAUUGUUGUCGCUCCUUUCUGUGAUACUGUCGCAGAGAAGAAAGAUAAAAAAGGAGCAUAUCUAGUAGCGUCGUCAGUCGCAGGUCGCCUUUCGUCGAUCAUCGCGUGACUCCGGUCAGUAUCUCUCACUCGCUCGCUCUCCCCUCUAUUCUUCUUCUGCAAUAUGCAGUUCUGCUCCAUAGUCCUUUUCUUCUACCGCUAAAAUCGCGAUUAUAUUUAGGGCAAGGGCAUAGAAUCGUAAAACGACGUCAUUUUGAUUUUUUUUAAAACCCAAAUAGCCCAAGUCGCUCGCCAGCUUGUAGGGGUGUUCAUUGGUAAAAAACCGAACCGGUACCGAAAAAACCGAACCGGUACCGAUCCAAAAAUAUCGAAAAACUAAGAACCGAAACCGGUACCGAAUUAUCGGUUUCGGUACCGGUUCGGUACACAAUCAGUUUCAGUUUUUUCGGUCCGGUUUUCGGUAAAACCAGUUCGGCUAUGUAAAUUGCAGAAUAUGUAGAUUACAUUCUUAAAAUUGGAAGGAGUUUGUGUUUACUUUGCAUAUUCGGCAUAUUCUCCAGUUUCCAUUUGAGUUUACCAUUUGUGUUUAUUUGUAAAGACAUCCACCUUUACUAUGAGUGCAUCAUAAAGAUCUACAAGUCAUGAUAAGUUGGUAAACAAGAGAGUAAAAGAGAAUUAUAUAACUAUUAACUACUAAAGUUGGCGUGGGUACAAUCACAAUCAGACAACAUGCAACAUUAGAAAUGUUAGUUAGCUUCCACUGAAUAUGCUCCAUCACCUCCUCCUUAAUGGUAAUCAAAAAUGGCAUAACUUUUGCUGAGAUGCAAAAGAAAUUAUUUGUAACAUCAGUACAUCACAACUCACAAGUAUUGCUCCCAGAGGCAUAUGGAACCUUAGACCUUAGUCAUUUCAACGAAAGGGAGAAAUAGAAUGCAUGACAAGCUAGUGCCUAGUGCCUUAAAUGAUAAGAUUCAUUGCAUUAUUACAUAUUAAGUGUAGAGAAAUUUUCCUGCAGUUCAAAAUAUUUCAAACUUGGAAUCAGCAGCAGUAGGUCCUUUCCUUGUUGAAUGUUAAUAAAUGUGGACUUGUAAACUGCAGAAUAUGUGAUUGGCAUAUUACUAUUUACUAAAUGUGGACUUGUAAACUGCAGAAUUAUUACUAUUUACUAUGCCAAUCACAUAUUAACUUGGAUCUCCAAGCAUUGGCAAGCAACAUGAAAUCAACUUGGAUCUCCAAGCAUUGGCAAGCAACAUGGUCAAGGACUGCCCAGAAUUUUACAAGAAUGCAAAACAGAGUGACAAAACAAGAAUGCAACACUGCAUGAACAAGAAUUUCAUCACUGCCAAGUGCAAGUGUGCAACACUGCCCAGAAUUCUUGUUCAGUCUGUUAUGAACAAGAAUGCAACACUGCCAAGUGCCAACACAUAAUUUAAAAAAGAAUGCAAAUAACCUGAUAACCAAGUGCCAACACACUGCCAAGUGACAAAACAGAAAACUAAAGUAGCCACUAAUCCAUGUGACAAAUCCAUGUUGACAGAAAACAGAAAACAGAAAACAGUAUAUAUGAUAAAACAGAAAACAGAAAAUUGAUAACCAUGUGAUAAAACAGAAAACUGAAGUCAAGUCAUUCAUUCAUUGAUAUCCAUGUGACAAAUCCAUGUUGACAGAACAGUAUAUUCCCUGAACAUAACCUGAUAACCAUGUGAUAAAACAUCAACUAAAGUCAUUUCAUCAACUGAAACAGAAAACUAAAGUAGCCACUACUCACUAGCAAGUAAUCCAAUCAACCAUAUUACAUAUCCAACUAAUCCAAGAUUAAAAACAAACAACGCACAAGGCACAAUUCUCUCAACUAUCAAGUCUCCAUUCUCGAACAAAUCAACCAUAUUUGAUAUUACAUAUCCAAGAUUGAUGCAUCUAAAUCGCCUGCUGAAAAUUCUGCAAUUUUUAAAAGACAAAUGUGAGCAAAUCAUAAUUUAUUAAGAAGAAUUUAAACUACAUUACAAAAAAAUAUAUAAACAAUACAAUGUGAUGUACCUUUUUCAAUUUCUUCAAGGGAUUCUAACUUUUCUUCGAUAUCAAUUGGUUCGUUGCUUCGGCGAAGCCAAUCGUGAGCACAAACGAAAGUGAAUUUGUGUCUUGGAUCAAGAACCACGGCAAUGUAUAACAACUUGUUCAUUUUAUCAACAUCCCCCCAAUAUUUCAUUAACUUUGAUCUCAUCCUCAUAGCCAUUUCUCUCAUUUGAUAAUCAUCAUCAUCUUCCAUUUCUUUCAAAAGACCAUCAACUUCCACAAACUCGUGAACAAAUCCAUUGGAUGUAACAUAUAAUGUGCCAGAGAUUCUAAGUGUUAAUUCAUAGAAAUGUUUCAAAAACAAAACAAUUCUUCUCACAUUACCCCAAUCCUCCACCGUUGGCCACCCUUCGCCUGAGAUCAUUUCUUGUUUAAACAAAGGAUCCCUACUCCCAAGCCUAUUAAAAGCACGUUCAAAAUGUUGAGCAACAUUCAACAUUGAAUAAGUGGAGUUCCAUCUAGUAGCAACAUCUAGGAUUAAUGAAGAUUUUUCAAUUUUUUCAAAGUCAACACACUCCUUGAACUUUCUAAUCCUAGAUGGAGAUUGCCUUACCCACCUAAUCAAUGCUCGAACACAAGCUACCGAAAUAUUAACAUCUUUCAACCCAUCAACUACGACCAAGUUUAAAAUAUGAGCAACACAUCGAACAUGAAUGAAUUUGUUCUCACAAACACUAUGUCCCCAUACUUGCAAUUGAUUUUUUAAAUAAGAUAUCGCAACAUCAUUUGAACUAGCAUUAUCAACAUUUAUAGUAAAAACUCUCUUAAUCCCCCAUUCUAUCAAACAAUUCUCAAUUGUCAUUCCAAUGGCCUCACCCUUGUGACUCAAAAUUGGAACAAAGUUUAUAAUUUUUUUUCUCAAUCUCCAUUUAUCAUCAAUGUAAUGAGCUGUCACAACCAUAUAAUUAAGUCUAUGUAUUCAUGUCCAUGUGUCAGUUGUAAUACAUAUCCUUUGAGAAGAUGAGUUAAAAAUGGAUUUUAACUUCUUUUUCUCUUCCAUAUAUAUUUUAAAACAAUCUCUUGUAAUUGUGUGACGUGAAGGAACAUUGAACCUAGGACAUGCGUUGGACACAAAAUGUCGAAAUCCCUCAUUUUCGACAACUUUAAAAGGAAGUUCAUCAACUAGAAUCAUAUAUGCUAAAGCAGCCCAAGUUAGUUCCACAUCAAACUUCCAAAGACAAUUAUUUGUUAACUCCCCUUCCAUGGUCUCAUCAUCAUUAUUAGCACUUGCAGAUUUAAAGUUCAAGAUUGCUUGAUUUCUUAACUCCACAUUUGGGGGGUAAAUUUUACAUCUCCUAUUGUGAGCAUUUAGACCACUAGUCCCAUUAUUUUUUGGAUCAGCACUUAAAAUAGCUCCACAAUAUUUGCAUUUAGCUUUAAUUUGACCAUUUUGCUUAAAUUUUGUAUAAUGAGCCUAAAUUUUAGCACGAGCCUAAAUUUUAGCACGAGUCUUACCGGCAUCAAGUUGCUCAAUUUCACCUUCAUUCAACUCCUCUUCAUCAAUAUGAAUUGGAUUUUCAGCAUUCGAUUCCACGUUGAUGGGUGCCUCAGAUUGCUGCUCAGCCAUUAUAACCUACACAUGCUCAAAACAACCAUAAUUACUAGUUACUACAAAGAAUUGACAAACCAUCUAUCUUAUAAAUAUUGUGAACGUCCAUAGAUUAUUUUUUAAACCAUAUUUGAACACAUCUAUCUUAUAAAUAUUGUGAACUCAGUCCCAAUUUGUAACUCAGUCCCAAUUUCAAUUUGUAAGUCAGUCCCAAUUUGUAAGUCAGUCCCAAUUUGUAACUUCACAAUUUGUAACUCAGUCCCAUAAUCCCAUUUUUGAUGAAUUUACACAUGAAUGCAAAAGUUGAGUUUCAAUUUCGCAAAUUUCAAUAGUGCAAAUAAGAGAACGAUAAAAAGAGAAGGCACAUAACAAAUUAACAAUCACUUUGAUCUGAAUUUUAAGAUAAAAAACAAUAUUUAUAAGAUAGAUGUGUUUGAUAGACGAUAGUUAUCUUAACAGUAAAAUUCUCAAAUAUAUGUAAUCAAAAAGAUUGGCAAAAGUUUGAUUCAAGUAGAAUUUUAGGAAGCAUUGUACUACAAAAACAUCAUACAAGUUGUUUCCCCAAAAGCAUGGACUACAUAUCUUAGAUCUAAGAGUGCAGAACUACAGAUCUACAGACUACAGAUCAUCUAACAAGUAACGACUUACCGUCGCCGUCGCCCGUCGGCGCUAGUCGUUUAUGGUUCAGUUGGUUGCGACGUUCGCGUGCUCGGCGGCCUGCGCUAGCUGAGCUUUGAGAGAAGGCAGGGUGAGGCGGUGAGCUUUAAUGGGAGGAGAACGGCCGAACGGCACGGUAGUCGGUAGAAGACUAAAGAAGAAGGGACUAGGGAGUAAGGAGAGUGAAGAGUGAAGAGUGAAGACCGAAUCGAAAGAGUAAAGUAGUUGAAGCUCUGUAGAAUUAAAAGAGAGAAAGUAAAUGAAGUACUAGUCUGCAAGUCUGUAAGUAUUUAUUAGAGUUCUGGUAUUUUUUUCGGUUUUACCGAAUUCGUAAUUUAUAUUACCGCUACCAGUACCGAAAAAUAUAAAAAAACCGAAAAACCGGUACCGAAAAAACCGAAACCGAAAAAAACCGGUAUCGCCGGUACCGGUUCGGUAAAAAAACCGAAAAACUGAAUUUUUUGAGCACCCCUACCAGCUUGCUGUGUCGUUUUCUAAGUCGUUCAUGGCGACGACAUUUUUCCUAAGGCGCCCGACUUCCGAUCCUACAACAAGUCGCCCUGACGCCUAGCUAUCAGCAACCCGACUAGACGCCGCCUUAACAACUAUGAAUAUACUUUAUCAUUUCUAAGUAAAAUAACAAAUUCAAUUUAUAAUUAUAUUUAUUAUAAAACUAAUUAUUAUGUGCAAACUCGAAUUCGAGCUUGAAUUUAAAGUUCACGAGUAGUUUGAAUAUAAUUCGAUUCGAGUCUGAUCAAAUUCGAGCAAUAAAUAUUCAAGUCGAGUGUAAGUAAAAAAUUUCAAAUACAAUUCAAAUUCAAGUAUAAAUUUAACGUUUCGAGUCAAAUUCGAGUAACUCUCUGUUCGCUUCGGUUCGAUUCGUUUACACCCUUAGAGAGUACAUAAAUCUCAAAAAAAUAAAAUAUGGAUCAACCUAUAUUAAAACUAUAACCAUUUGGAUUCGAGAGCAGAUCCUCUGUCCCCAAUUUUCCUGUCCCCUUGUGUCCCUCCACUUAAAUUUUGACACCUAGUCUCUUAUUUAACACAAAUUAAUUUUAAAAUUAAAUAAAAGGACGUAUUAAAAUUUAAGUGGGGGGACAGAAAAUUUGGGGACAGAGGAUCUGCUCUCUUUGGGUUCAACCCACACAAACCAUAUUAAAAAUGGAUAAUAUGGUUUUAGUUCUUAUUUGGACCCAUAACCAUUGUAUGUAAACCAAAACCAAACCAAAUCAAUAUUUAGCCAGGUCUACACCCAAUAUUAUACUUGAGAGUUGUGACAAGGUACUAUCAAGUACUUGUCGCCUGAACAUGUGAUGCACAUGCCACAUAAACAAGUAAUGCUCCUGCACAACUCUAGUGAGAAGGUAAGAAAAGAUCAUCGGUGAAAUUCGAAAAGAUAUUGCAAGCUUAACACAUACUUGGUUCAUAUUGCUAACUUUGGAUCCACUGUUCCUGUUGCAUUUCCUUCUCCUGUUAGGAUGUGGUCUGGAUCCUGCACAAAGAUACAACAAACCAAUUGGUAAAGACCAAAUAAAAACAAUAGAUGGAUGAGGAAUACACAAGUAGGGGAUAUACCUCCAUCCCCCAUUUGAUGUAAUCUGGGGACUCACAGGUCUUGUAUUCAUCAACCAAGCUCUCAAUUAUGCCUCUAGAUUCAUCAAAUUCUGAAAGAUCAUUGUCCUGCCAUGUUUCACAUCAUAUGGAAAUGUGAACAGAUUACAAACAUUUGAUGAAGGAAAGCUGAAAUAGACGACACUAUGAAUGUUAACGGUCUGGUUGAAAACGCUUUCAAGUACAAAAAAUAACAUGCGAGCUUAUUGUUCAAAGCUUUGGGGACGGUUUGAAAUUCAAUCUGUUUAUGUCAAGCUAAGCUAAGCUGCUAAGGGAAGAAAAGGAAAGCGCAAGUAAAUUCUAGAGAAGGAACUGAUCAUGUAAUUUAGUUAGAAAAGUGUGUUAGUUUAGGAUAAGAUGGUGUAGGAUAGGUUAGUUGAUAAUUUAGGCAUAUCUAGUACAAGUAUGAGAGUCAUGCUAAUUAUGUCAAUGAUAUCAAUGAAAUCUGAGAAAAACAUUAGCUCUAUCUAUCUUCUUCUACUACUUAAUUUCCUGCUAUAAAUCUUCUUCCUUCCCUCUGAUGUCUUAGUCCCCUUAUACUCAUCUCCUAACUCUCUGGUCUUGACAUAAACUACCAAUUGUUAGAUGAAUUAUUAGCAAAUGUAGACACCAAGAAUUGAGCAAGUCCCAAUUAAAUCUCAUAUUUACUGUAGUACUAACUACUAACUCUUAAUAUAGCACAAGGGCCUUUCAUGCACAUAAUGUUUUUAAUUGAUCAAUGGCUUUUCACAAUACAAUUUCAUUAAGUCAUAUAAAAAACUUGGCAUCAGUAGUAAGGCAUCAAAGAUGUGCUAAUCAACAGGAUUAGGGACAGCUUAAUUGAUCUUGUACUCCAAUUACAGUAAAAAGAAAUAUGUAAGAAAUGAGCUUCAUUUGGGAUAUGUAACAAAUAUUGGACUGUGCAAAUAAAGAAUACUGGUUUGAUUAUUAGUCACAAUUUUAGUCCUUAAAAAUUUAACAAAUUGGGGUAGUACCAACUUCCCAUUGAGGAGAAUACGAGAAAAUAAUCAAAACAUAAUUUGAGAUGGUAUGAUCAUAUCCAACGAAGACCCACAGAUGAUUUGGUAAGAAGAGGAGUCCUUUAUUAGGAGGAUGAUAUAAGGAAGAAAAGGGGGAGGGGUAGACCAAAAAGACUGGAAAAUAACUGAGGACUACAAUCUAUAUUUUAGACAGUGUUCUAAAAAUCCCCGCCUAGGUCCGCCUAGGCCCCGCCUAGGCGCUAGGCCCCCUGACGCCUCACCUAGGCCCAAGGCAGCAAAAAAAUUCCUCUAAGGGCCUAGGCGGAGAGUUUUUAUUUAUUUUAAUAAUUACCCAAAUCAGAUUGAUAUAUUUAUUUUUCUAAUGAUUUACCAUAUUCAUAAUACAGGUUGUAAUAUAUCAAAUCACAACAAGAAGUGAACAAUAUCAAGUCAAAAUGGAUAAAUUUUAUUAUAGUUGUAAUUUUUUGAACUUGUACCAACUUCAAAUUAUAUAAAUUAUGAUACAUUUGUAAUAUUUAGUUUAAUUCAAUAUAAUUCUUCAAUUUAUGUUUAGUUUCUUAAGUUUUAAUAUUGAAUUAAAUUCUUGAAAUUUUAAAUUUUAUUAUUUAAUAGCAAUUUUAUUUAUAAAUAAAACUAAUACGUUAAAAAUAUGUUUGAACUUUGAACAAUUACAUUUUUGUGUUUGACCUUUGACAUUAGCAAUAUGAAUAUGUGUUUGAACUUUAAGCAAAUGUCUUUAUUAUCUUUAUUAUAAAUUGUUUUGCUUUAUAUUAUUAUUUUGUUUGGAUAAAUGUAAGAUAAAAUAUUAAAAUUGGCUUAAAAUAAAAAAUCUCGCCUAGGCCCCUCGGCCCCCCGCCUUCCGCCUUUUAGAACAUUGAUUUUAGAGGCCGAGUAUAGCGUCACUGAAAAGUGGAUUUUAUACCACGAAUUUAGUACUUCUAACUUGAUGAAAUUGCGUGUUUUUAAGUAUUUUAUGUUUUUUAUGCGGUUAUUGUAUUUUUGCAGAAAUAGAGUUUGGAAGAAGAAUAAUUGGAAAUGGAGUCAAUUCAGGUGGGUUAUGGUAUUUUCUGCUAGAGAUGGAGUAAAUUGGUGCAAACAUGUAGGGAUAAGCAAAAGAGGCGAAAUGGGUCAAUUAUGGGCAUGUUUGGAUCGUGGGUCGAGAUUGGGUUGGAUCCGGGUGAGAAGGGCUUGGAUAUGGGCGAGCUAGCAUACAAGUGCAGCAGCGCACGAGGAUAUGCACAGCAGCGCUCAAGUAUGAUGAGCUGCAGCGCAAGGUAGAAACCGGGCACAUGGGCGCGUGUACGUGGGCUGGUAUGGCUUUGCAGGUUUCCUUGUUCGCUUGGAUUGUUACCAUACGAGGACAAUUAAGAGUAAAAGUCUAUGAGCAAAAGGAAUACCAUAUGUCUAUCUAUAUGCGAAUUUAGAAAAAAGAGGAGAGAGGAGAUUCAUAAUUCCGAGGGCAACACAUAUAUUCAGAUUGAGAGCAGAACACAAGGAGCCAGAAUUGAAGAUGGAGAAUUGGGGAUUGAAGCUGUCUACAGAUAUUUUUUUUUACUCUUUCUUGUUAAUUUUUGUACUUCAAGAAUGUUUCAGGAUAUUAUGUGGAUGUUUUAUUUUUGCGCUAUGAACUAAAUUAUCCUUUGGGAUUACAAUGGAACCUGAUUAAUUUAUGUUGAAUUACUCUCUAUUUAAUUAUGAUUGAUUGUUUACAAGUUGUUUAUCAUAUUUGCACUUCAUAUUAUAAUUGUCUGACCAACAAUUAACUUCAUAAUCUAGAUGAUAUUGGGAAUAGAAUCUAGGGUUGGAUUUAAAAUGUGAUAGCAUGCGUUGUGAUUAUUCUUCUUCGGAAUGAUAUUUACAUAUAGAAUAUGAAUAUAUCUAUAUGUCAAAUGUAACUUGUAUGAGAAUUGGUACUUGAUAAAUUCGUUCUAAUUGUUCACAGAGUAUAGUGAAUUAAUUAAAGUGAAUUUUAUUAGGGAAAGAUACUCUUCUUGCUGCUAUAUCACACUAUUCGAUCGUGUAUACUUACAUGUAUAUAUAUAUAUAUAUAUGCACUUAUUUUGGUAUUAGGUUUGUUUGUUCUUAAAAUAUUGUUUUUUGUCAAUUUUCUAUAGUUCUAUAUUAUUUUCUCGCAUUUUCUUUCUUACUUUUAUUGGUUUAUCUUUCUACUUUUAUUCUUUCAUAAGAGAUCAUUUUUAAAGUUGCACUACUUAAGAAUAUAAGAAAUUCUGACACAAGAAAGAACGAAUAUAAGAAAUUCUAACACAAGAAAGAACAACUAUUAACCUGAUGAUAUCCACUAGCCCAAUUGUUGCCUGCACCCCCUCCCUCUUUUGACAUAAAUAAAUUUUUGUGAUUAAAUAGAUUUCAAUAAUCACCAGUUUGGUAUGUCGUGUUGAUCAUCAGCUUGAUAGAAAAACACAUCCUUCCUGCCACCUCCCUGCAGCAUUUUAAAAAGCAAAUCAAUAAAAUUGAAUGUAUCCUCUCACAUUUAUUAAGAGGAGUUACUGUUGAAUGAGGAGGAAACUUUCCUAUUGAAACCUACUCUCAUAAAUAUCAUCACUAACCUUAGGCCACCUAUGUUAAUACUUGAGCAUGCUCAAACCUAAUACCUAGGGAUGAAAAUGUAUCAGUACAACUCGUACUCGAACUCAACUCACUAAGGACUUGGUUAGUUGGUUUGACUCAACUCAUGAGCUAAAUGUGUUGAACUACAACAUGAUUUUAAGCUUGAGAUUUAACAAGAGAUAAUCUAUUAAUCCCUCCAUCCCAGUUUAAGUGAGUUCCUUUUUGUUUUGCAUAUCCCAAAACGAGCUCACUGUAUCCUCACAUUUCAUCUCUCUGAUCAAUAAUUGUAAUUUCUCUAUCCAAGGGUUAUAAGAAAAAGUAAAGCAUUCCUUACAUUUCUCCUAAAACUACAACUAUGUCUAUGUGGCCGUCAAACCAGCUCACUUAAAAGCUAAACAAACAUCGCUUGAAUACACAACAUUGAGCUCAAAACACACACACACACACAAACUCUAUAAGAACCUUAAGUAGCCGAGCUCGAAAAUCCAUUACUAGACUCCACUCAUUUACAUGCCUGUUUUCAGUGUAAGGUUGAAAUGAGUGGGUUUAGAGUUUAGACAUAUUUGUUGAAACAAACACAAGACCUUAUUGAAUUCAGAAUGGAAAACCUAAGCAAUAUUCAUGCUGCAUUUAGCAUUCCCCAAUUUGAAAUGGAAAAAGUAAAAUCAGCUUAAAAUUUCACUAACCCUUCCUUUUAAAUAGUAUUUCCAGCCCAAAACAAAACAAAAAUUUGGUGGAUCGCAUUUUCCACACAAUAUAUAUUCUCGAAUCCUAAUCCAACACUAACAUAAUACUAAGUAUAAAAGCACCACGUUUACAUAAAAAAUAUUUAUAAUAUGUGCUCUAAUGAACUAAUUCCAACAUAAUUAACGAUAAUUUUUACAUAAAACAACCAAAAGAUUAAUAAUAAACUACAAAAACUCUAACUAUACCUUGGUUAGAGCUUCAAUUUUUCUCCACAAAAAAAAAAAAAGAAAGGGCAUAAACUUUAUAAAGUAGUACAAUAAUUCUAACCUGAGUGACGAAAUCUUCGAGAAUGCCAUAUUUGCUGAUGCCGUGCACGAGGCAAAGUUGCUUCCAAAACUCCAUUCCGAUCUGGUUCCCGCAUUGUCUCACUUGCAGUGUUAUAAUUUCUCUCGGCAUUUUCCUCUCCUUUUUUUCUUUUUCUUCUUAGGGUUUCGAUCGAGGCAGAAAACUUUCGGAUUCUAUCUCCUCUGUCGGGGACAGUGUUUUAAAAAGAUAGACGGAAAAUAAUUAUGAGCUUUUUGAUUCUGACGCUGUUGUGGGGCGCUGUGUUGAGAUGGAGUGGGUUUUGUUUGGACCUUACUUGAUCAAUGUAUAAAUCAAGCCCAAAAUAAAAUUCGGGCCGAAUUUGGUGAAUAAGUUGUUCGACCCGUUAUAGAUUCGACCAAAUUAUGGUAUUAUAAAUGUAUUAUAUAGACUUAAAUAUAUUUUACUAUCUUACACUAUUGAUUACAUUUCACUUCGAUAAUUUAUUUUUUAAUUUUAUAUUUAAUUGAAUUAUUAAUUUUUUUCAAUUUAAUUCAAUUGAGGCUGUCAUAUCAGAAAUUGCUGAUGUGACCUCCUAAAGUGAGGCCCAUGUCAGCUGAUGUGUAUUUAAAAAAUACUAUUUCUAUCAUUUAUUAAUUUAAAUUAUUUAAAUAAGAGUAAAUUUGACAAAUUAUUUAUUAAUUUAAAUAUCGUUUCUCUCUUCUUCCUAUUCACGCCCAACUCUUCUCCUUUCUUUUAGAUUAACCCAAAAGUAUCCACCAUCAUUGCCAAGAACGAAUAUCACCUAAAUCACAUUUCGUAAUUAUAAAGAUCACCUACUAGGCUACUAUAUCACAAUAGUUUUAAAUAUCACCUAUUUGUAUGUGGAACAAACUAAUACAUAGAGAAUAUUAUAAGAUAAUUUAUUGGCAACAUCAUUAUCAAGUAGGAAACUGAGAGCAGAAAGUGGGUCUCACAUUCAUGUGAGAGAGGGCCGUGUGAAAAUAUAAAAAACUCAUAUGAAAAUAGUGAUCCCCUAUUAAGUAACUAUAUAAACGUCUAAUGGAAAGUUGCAGCAAUGUUAUCGAUAAUUUAAAUAAACAUAUAAAUAUAACUCUGCAGUAAACAACUAGGCAAAGUUUCCAACCGGUACCUUCCACGCAAAAAUUCAAGAGCAAGUUUAAAGUUGAUAGUAAUGAUUCAGCAUGUGUAAUAUUCAAUGCAGCACGCAACAAGUAGAACCUGCCUACCGAAAUGAAAGGAAUCUAGCAUCGUCAGCUGAUGAUAAGGUGUAACUGCCUUGCCCACCGUCAAUCGAGAGCAAGACCCUAAUUAAUCCCUAAGCUUUGGUAAUGUCGAAUGCCAUUGCUCACCAGAUGGUGGGUCGAAAUGCCCGGCGGCUAAAUUGACUUGAGGAGUUUGGCCAUUGUCAAAUUUCCUACAUUGCCACCCUGCCCCCAUUAGACCACGAUUUGUCCGGCUUCGGAAUUUGAGAGCAGUGCAAGAAACAGGAGUGAAGAGAGAAGUGUAAGAAGUGAACAAAGUUUGAUAGCUAUGCUUUUAUUGAACUUGUUUUAGCUAUUUAAUCGUCUUGAAUCUUAAUAUGAGCAGAGUUUGAGCAAAAGGUGCAUGGUAUUUAUAGACUAAAGUUGACCGUAUUAUUGAGUAUGGAUUAAGUCGAGUUUUUUGUGAACAUGGUUGGUUUGAUCGACUCAAAGUAAACCUUUAUCUGUUUACGCGUAGAAAAUUUGCAAUAUGUGAGCAAAAUUGUGGCACAUAGCAUGCCAUUUUUUGGCCUUAUGGCCAGCACGGCAGCACUCAUAUAUUAUAUGAUCAACAAUGGUGGAACUAGAACAAAAUUUGAGGGGGGUCAAAAUUUGAGGGCGGUUACCGAAAAUCCAGAGCAACGACGUGUAGGUUGCAGCAGCGAGGAAACGGAGUUAAGGUCCUUGGGUUUGAUUUUGACCCAGAUUGAAAAAAAUAGAAAGUAUAUUAGCGGCCCAAUGCAUACCGACCAGAGAAUCGUGACCCAAUGCACAAGGCAGCACGCUACCGACAAAAUCACCAAUAAUCAGACCCAACUGAUUGAUUGCAACACAUAUGUAUCUCCGGAUCACUAACAAUAUCAUUCGGAUUGAACUUCAAUAUUUGUUAGAUGUUUUUAGACUCUAAAAACUAACAAUAUUAUUAAAUGUUUUUAGACUCUAAAAAUUCCAAAUCAGUCACGCGCUAAUAAAUAUUGUCAUUUCUCCUCCCUUGUACCAAAAAAACGGAAAAAAACUCUAAAAAAGAUUAAUUCAUCCUUAUAUUUAACAUGAACCAAAUAUAUAGAGUAUUUGUCACGUAAAAUACUUCUUUUUUCCCCUAAAUAAAUGAUUUUAAUUCACUUGCUACAAUUUUGUUGGUGUUAAAGGGUCACACUUUUAUUUAAUUAAAAAGUUAUGUCCUAUUUUUAAAUUUUAAUACUCCUACUUAAUAAAAUGCAGGAAAAAAAAACAAAAAGUAAUGGUCAUGUUACAUUUUUUUGGGAAUGGGCAAAUUGGUAACUAUACCAAAUAGAUUAGAAGGUGAGUGAAGGUGAGUGAGAGAUUUACAGGGCUCUAUCCCUUAUUAGCAAUUACAGACGGAGAAGAGAGAGAGAGAGCAAAUCAGAGAAGUGAGAACCGAAGUGAAAGAAUGAUAUGUAGUGCUCCAUAUCUUUGAUUGACUAAGCUUCAUGUAUGCAGUGCUCCAGUUGAGUAUUCCGGCAGCCAUGGACAGGGGGCAAUUACCUGCUCUGUCCCUAAGGUGAAUCCGCCCCUGCCCUUGCCGUCGGAGAUUUCAGGGGGGUCAUAUGCCCCCCUACCUCCCGGUUCCGCCUCUGAUGACCAAAUAUUAUUUAUUUCUAACACUAUGUUUUAUCCUACCGUUAUAAAUAUGUUGAUUAAAAUAUUUUUAAAAUGAUAUUGUCGUUCAUUUAAUUCAUUGUAUUACCUUGUACUUAAUUAACAAAGCACUAUUACUUUUAUUAAUAAUUUCACACAGUAGUAUCAUUGUAUUUGAUCUAAUUGAGUUUAUUUUUUUGCUACUAAACCUACUAGGCUAAAUUAAGGGAGAAGUGCGAAAUGAUUUACUAUUUAUUAAAAGCAUAUUACUCGGUUUAUUAUUUUUAAUCUACAAUUAAUAAUAAGGAUGUGCAUAUAACAAUACGGAGAGAAAAUUCUUGCGCACACAAUUUUUGGUACAUCCAAACAGAGCCUUAGGUUUGGAAGAAGCCAGAACCCACACGUGGGAACAUAUGCAGAAAUUUGACCGAUAGGGAAAACGCGCGAAACAUCUCGAAAUCAGUAGCAGCUUCAUCUUUUCUCUCUCCUACCCAUAUAAAAUGGUCCCAAAUUUGUACCAGCUAAAUCUCAGAGAAAAAAUCUUCGCCUAAAAAAAGCACAAAACAGAGAGACAAACACUUCUUUAGCAUCAUUUCAAUUUUGGGUUGGUGGAUUUGAUUGGUUUCGAUAACUGAGUCAUUUGGAUUCUGUGGAACCGUUUGGAAGGAGCUUUUUAUUUUCAUUUGUAAGUUCUUUCCUAAUUCCCUUUCAAGAAUUUAAUUCAAACGUCUUGAUUUUGCCUUCUGGUACUGCGAUAUUGUUGUGUGUUAGGAUUGUUCUGGGUUUGUUGCAUUUUGGGAAAUAUUGAAUUAUUUAAGUCAAAUUUUUUUCCUUAUAAUGAAUUUUUGCUCCAAUUUAGUAUGUUAUGAUUUCUGGGGUUGGUAUAUUUUGGGCUAAGUUGUUUAAUUGGUGAAGUUGGUAACAUUUUGUCUACUUAUUUGUGACUUAUGAUGCAUAGCAAGCGAAUUGUUUGGAUGUUAUUUGUGAAGAUUAUCAGCAACUUUCAGUGUUGAGGAGGUGUUUAUAGAAAUUUGUUUGAGCAGAGACUAAUUUUUGAUAUUUAAGCAAAAUAAAUGGAGCUGAUAGUAUUUGGUCAAGCGGUAUAACUCGUUUUAUGGUUUUUAUGAGGAUCGAUCCUUGGGCCACCAGGGAGAGUGUGUGUCAAUGUAGCAAAAAAAAUAAAUGGAGCUAAUAGGCUGUUUAUUGAGAAAUCUUUAGAUUUUUAUUAUUAUUUAUUUCUUCUUUCAAUUGGAUUAAGUUUGUAGCAGAAACCAAGUCCUACAAAAAGUAUUUUGAUCUACUCCAAAUUAGAGAUGCAUUUCUAAAAUGAUUAUUUUUUGUGUGAACCUUCGAUAGAGAGAACUAUACCUAUCAUUUGUGCUUGACUUUUUGUUCGUCUUUGUUGAAGUUUUUCAGGACAGAGGGAAAUUUCUAAAUGUUUGUUCUUAGAUCAAGUCAUUAAGAAUUGGAAUUACUUGUAUAUGCAGUACUUUUUCUAACUUAAGAAUUGGAAAUUAAAUAGCAAAUAACUACAAUAAGGAUUGCGAGAAGUCCCAAUCUUCCUAUUGAAAGAUAGAAUAAAAUCAAUACACUAGCAAGUUUAAACUAAAAAAAUUUCCUAGCUUGCAUUGUGUUUUCUGCCAUAUGACAGAAUCGACAUGGAACUCCUUAAAAAUUAUAUAUUCUUUGAUUGGAUUGCUAUAAGUCUGUCUUCACUAUUCAAAAUCGCUAACCUAGCUAGCUGCUUAUAUCCAAAAAGCUAAUCUGUUCGGAAGUAGUAUUUUGCUAGGUUGUUUGUGGCUAGAAUUUUGUUUACAAAUGUUCCAUAUUUUCUAGUUUUUUCUCAUGAUCAAGUCAGAUGAUUGAUUGUGAGGGGCCAUCUGGUUUUUCCUUAAGGAUAGACACACCUUCAUUUAAUGUAGUAGAAUUGUACUUGCAUUUUACUUUUUAAUCAUCUGUUGUUACCGAGUGGAAGUACUUUGUUUGUGGUAGACUAGAUGAAAUAUGUCCUUUAUCAUGGCAUUAAACAAUUUAUUAAUGUAACAUCUGUUAAUAGAUGUUUGAAUAUCAACAGUUUGCAUAUUGGUUCCCUUAAAAAAGAAAUGAAAAAGGACUGCAACAGUGUGAUAUCUGUCAUGUGUUUCGUUACACUGUAAAAGAAGAACCAUUAUAAUAUCAUCUCUGUCUACUCGCUGUGACCUGUGACAAUUUUGAGAAUUGUAAGACAUUUUCUUCUAGACUGCUGUACUAAAGGGUUGGAGCAGCAAAAAUUAAUGAAAGUUUUAGUAUAAAUCCUGACGUCUCCGGUGCACAUUUUAUUGGGAAUGGACUGCGCAAUAGUAUCACAUUUCUCUUGUAGUUGUGUUUGUAACCACACUUUAAGCAGUAAUUUUUGCAAUAAAUGAUAUGUACGUAUAUUGUUGUGCCUUUCUCGCUCUUCUUUUUGCUAUCCACUCCUGCAUUUUCUGUUAUUUUUGUCUGUUUAUUUCCUUUAUUAUCUUUUAAUUGUUUAAUGAUAGGUCUCUGUCUCUUCACGGGUGAAAAAAAAUUGACAGGUUGCUGUGUCUCAAUCCAAUUUUGAGGAUUUAUCCUGGCUACAGAUUCAUGGAUUACUACCCUCAGCAUAGUAGUCAAAUGCUCUGCGCACCUCAGUAUGGCCCUAGCUUUCAAGAUGUUCCACCUCAAAUGAAGGUGGAUCCUGCUGGAUACCCUAUACAUUAUGAGUCUUGGCCUUAUGGUGGAAGCCAUGGUUAUCCACAUCCAGCGGAAUGUCAUGCCUGCUGUCACUACAACCAAUAUGUUUACAGUCAUGGAAGUUAUCCUUCAUUCCCAGCGACUUAUCCUGUUCACAGUAUUCCCUCUCCAUACUAUUCAGCGGAUAACCCACGGUAUGAAUAUGAUAAACAUGGUCCAAGAGAUCGCCAUUGCUGUGGUUGUCCCAACCACUUAUGCCAGCAGAAAGAAAACAGAAAUGUGAAGAUUGAGGAACAAGAUCCAGAUUAUGAAAAGAAAUUAAGCGAUUCUUUGGUUCCUUCUCAGCUGAAAAACUUACCAUAUCCAAUUGUAUGGAUUCCACCAGGUUACAUGAUGAAUAAAGAGGGUAAAAUAACAGAUGGGCUGAAAUCAAGAGAAGGGGACAAAUACGAUUGUGAUGAGAAAGCCAACGGGAGUUUAAAAUCAUUUGAACAGGAGCCAAGUAUUUAGAAUCGAUGGUUACCAAUUGAUUGGAACAACCCUGGAUCCUUGAAUCAAGGUGGAGAUGGGAAGAGAACUCAACAUAAGCAAAAUGAGGACAUGAGCAGAAAUUCAUUUCCUAUAUUUUGGAUGCCUCACAAACCUGAGCAAGUGGAACCUAAGGAGAUGAAUGGUCAUCAAUGAUCCUCUGAGGAACCUUUGUUUCUCAGGAUUCCUCCAAUGAAGCUUAUUGACAGCGAUGAUAGGAAGAGCCAGCCCAAAGCACUAGAAGAAAAUUCUGACAGAGGCUGGUUUAAAUCUGGUGGGUAAAAAUGAUGUACCGCAGAUGAUUCCAGUGAAGCGAGAGGAGCCAAGUGAUAAAACAACAAUAUUAAAAGAUGUCAACAAAAAAGACACUGUCAUCCCUGUUGAGCACAAAGAUGACAAAGCAGAGAGGAGACCUGCAGACGUCAGUGCUAAAACACGAUCUUCCCCUCCAAAGAAAUCAAAGUUGCCUCCUGUUUGUCUGAGAGUUGAUCCAUUGCCAAGACGAAAGAAUAACAAUGGCAGUUCAAGGUCUCCAAGUCCUACUGCUAACAAAGGAAAAUCACAAGAGCUGUUGAAUGGAAGUUCAAAGUCUUCUCCGUCAUCAUUUAUGCAAGAAAAUAAAAAAGAGGAUAAGCAAUCUUCAAUCCAUCUAGACAAGAGCAAGGAGGAAGAGCAGAGAAAAAUCAAGACAAAAUCUAUCGAAGUGGUUGAUGGUGCAAUUAGGAAAGACAAAAGAGACGAUAUGAAAGAGACUCAAACUCAGACUUCUGUUAGCCUGCCAGUUGAUUGUCAUGAGAAGGUCCCAAUGAUUGAAACUGAUUGUCAAGCUGGAAAGCGUGACAGGGAAUGUUCUUUUGAAGGAGAAAAAAUUGAGAAUAAUGCUGAUGUUAAAAGAUGUGGGGAACCAAGUGAAGAUGAAAAGGGAAGUGUAGAAGACUUGUCAGCUAGUGGGAAGUGUGAAACUGGAGUCGGUGGAGGAGCAAGCAAUGCAAAAGAAUUGAAAGUUAAUGGUUUAAAUAAAGAAAUACAGAGGAAGAAGUUGUCAGAGGCUGAAGCAGUACUUAUUCAGUCGGCAUAUCGUGGUUUUGAAGUUAGGAGAUGGGAGCCAUUGAAGAAAUUGAAGGAAAUAGCUAAAAUCAAAAAGCAGGUGACAGAGGUGAAGCAACGAGUGGUGAUUGGAGUCUGGAGAAAAUAUAAUGAGCCUUUUGCUAAAGCUGGACACCAUUCAGGUAAAUAUAAUAUGAUUGCAAUUCUUCUUGUAAUAUAAUUUACUCAUUUUGGAUUUAUUAUUUGUUUGCUAUUUCCUGAUCUUUAGAAUGGAAUAUAAUGCUUUGCUAAGUCUAGUGAUGAUUUCCCUUUAGGAUUUUCACACUCGGACACUCAUUGAACACGUAGAACAAGCAUUUAUAUGCACUUUCACGGAUAUAAAUUUGUUUUAUGUUUCACUGUUUGUAUGGUUGAUAUCCUUCUCCUGGAUGCCAUUUGGUUGAUAUUUGCUCCAUUAAAUUUAGUUGUGAUUGACAGAUUAGAUUUUUUUUGCUCACGGCUCCUUCAAAAACAUUUGGGGUAACACAUAGCACAUACAAUCAGUUAAAUCAACUUGUUUGUUUAGGUUUUAUAUGGUUGAUAAACUUGAUAUCAUGUUCUUCAUUAAAUUUAGUUGUGAAUGAAAGACUAUAAUUUUGGUUCUGACUUCUCCUUCAAACAGUUGGAGUGAGGCCUUCAUGGGUACAGAUAUCUUGGGCUGUUUCUUUUCUCCUUAUUCUUGACUAUCAUCUUUACUUUGUUGAUAGGUAGUGAAAUAGUCAAUAGUCAGAAGUUGGUAUUUUACUAUUUAUCCCAGAACGCUAAAAUAAUUUGCAUCUCAUCUAUGUAUCAGGGCUUCAAUCCGAGUGUCAGGGAUAUAAGAAAAUCUGUGGCAAAGGAGCUUGUUAGUCUGCAGGAGAAACUCGAUUCCCUAGCUACUACGAAAUCUGAAGCAUCAGCAGAGAAAGCUUCUGAAGCUGAACAUGUUGAAGGCAUUUAAAGCAGCACCAGUGAUGAUGAUGCUUGCACACAGGGCAGACAACAAGUUGCAAAAGAUGAACAUGAUCAUAAGAUCUCUGUUAGUAGUCAUGACGUGGAGACUUAUCUAGCAGAGCCAUGCCAAUUGCCAAGGACAAUCUCUCCUUACGACAGAUGUGAAUUUCAGCUCUGUUGCUGCAGAAAAAUCAGAGCCUAUGUUUAGCAACAAAGGAGCAUGCAGAGAUCUGGAAGAGAAGUUUUCUAAACCAUAUGUGCCAAGUUCUGUGGACUCUUCAUACUCAACUCCGCUUAAUGAACCGAAAGAAACACAGACUAGUGAAGUGGCUGACAUUGGCCAAAUGCCAAUAUUACAGCCACUUGACGAUUAUGAUGUUUUGAAGGUUGAGGCGGAUAAAAUUCCUCUUCCAAAUGUUGCAGAAGAUGAAUUGAACUCCUCAGUAUACAGUAUUAGAUAUUCAAAGCUCAAUGCCCCUAGCUUGAGUUCAGCUUAAUAAAGUGGAGAUAAAUAAAAUUUUCUAGAGCUUUCUGCAGUUAGCGCAACCAUUAUCAAGCCUUUAGACAGGAAAGUAAAGGAAGAUCUUAAUCAAAUAUUUUGACAUAAAACCCUAGGGACAGGCAAAUUCAAUCCUAUACCUAGUCAAACACCUGUUCAAUCAACCACUGAACCCAAGAGAAAAAUUAAAGGACAAACUAAGCUGAACCAAUUGUUAAACUAUUGUAGCUUGCAAAACUCUAUUGCAUAAACAUGAUAUUAAACCCUACACACACUAUAUCCCAAUCUUAAAGGGUUCAGAGGAAUGGAAAUAGUCCCUGCUGGAGUAGAAGCAGAUGAGCAACAUGGGGUACACAAAAUACGAGGCUUGUGUGGAAUACAAGGGACAACCUCCCUUUCCAUUGCUUUUUCCUAUAGUUUCAAAUCUAAAUAAUCACAAUUUUAGGUGGAACUGAAUCCAACUUCCUUACCUGCAACUUUGAAGAGUGUUACAGUAAGUAACCUCUCCUACUCAACCAAAAACAUCCGGAUACUUCUUUCAUAACUGUUGAAUCUGGUACUACUGUAAUCACCAAAGCAUACUGAUUGUCGUCUGGUUUGAAAAGGCUUUGAACUCUUUGUUAAGGUUUGGGCACACUGAAAUGGCCUGAGAUACUACAUACUACCCGUCUAAUAUCAUAGUCCAAGUUUACUUGGAUAACAUUCAACUUAUUAAAGGGACAUGCAUUUGCAGUUGGUGGGAAAGUAGGUAAUCCCAAAACUAACCCUUUCAAUAGUUUUACUAAAGAAUAUAACAAUUUUUUUAAGAGCAUUAUCUCAAAAAGAUAGAAUAGGGAAGUUUCAAUGAGCAAUUAGUUUUUCUACAAGGACUAUAAUUCUGGGAGAUCCCAGAAGGAAGGAAUGACACUGAAUUUCACGACAGAGGUGGAACUGUUUAUGAGGGAUAAAAAAACUUGAUUUCUUAUAUUAUCAACCAUUAUCUUGGACUAUGAAAAUUCUCUCUUCAAUUAGAUGAUGACAAUUUUGAUUUAUUUUGACAAGGAGGAGAAACAAGAGAUUAUGGCGACAACCCUCAUAUAUUAUAUUAUCUUCUGCCAGACCUUAUUCCAUGAGCAUUACUCCCACCAUACUACUACAAAAUGUUAGUUUAAUCUCCUGUGAGAGCAUAAUGAUUAGGAGUAGAUGUUCACUAAAAAUAAAAACUCUAAACAGGGACAACUAUACCCUAUAGGACACCCUGUAACUUCAGCUACAGAAUGACAUAUUCUCUUUCUGGUUCAACUAGGUAUGUUGCUUAUGGAAUGUUUAUCUACAAUUUCAAUGCAGGUUACAACAAACAAGAAAGUAGAAACUAAAUCAUUAUGAAAACUUGCUGUUAGGAACCAGAGUCAUCAUAUCACGAAGUGGCUAUUAUAAGCUGAAAUAAAUUUGCAACACACAGAACGAAUGGAACAGAAAGGAUUUGACAUGGGUAGUCCAUGUUCUUACAGUGUUUAUUGCCCUUUACCACUAAGGUUUGCUAAAGGCUGCCAGCAAUAUAGCUACAGAAUAUAUGUCAGGCCUAUAUAUAUUCACAGUGAUGAAAAACUCUAUUUCUGCUACUUUGUAACGGUUGAAAUAUACAUCAGAGUAUAAGAAGAUGUAGAGAGAAAAAUGGUUGACUUUCUUACAAAUCAAAACUGAACUAUGCUGAUAAUCAAAGUAUCAGUUACAAAAAUAAUUCUAAAAACAGUUCAUGUGCAUAUUAAUUACUGUAAUUGAAGAACUAACUGAAGAAUUAACUUUGUUAAUUCUAAGAACUAACUUAGUUCGAGCUUUAUCUAAAAAAUAGGCUCAUGGCUCGGGCGAGGCCAAUGAGACUUUGCGACGUGAACCCGGCCCCAGGCGGGUUCGCACCACGUCAUUGUGAUCAGAUCCAAACCUUCCUUUUAGUACCACAAGUAAAUUAAACUAUUCCCCUUGUGCUUAUAAAGCAUUAAAUAAUUUUAAUUCUUAUCGAUGUGGGACUUAAAGGAAAAUAGUUUUUGCAAACAACAAUGCACUUUUUCAUAUACCCCACUUUGGAUAUAAUUAAAAUGUAAUAUAUAAUUCCUACUUGAAUUAUAUAUUAUUCUUUCUUAAUCUCCUUGUAAUAACCAUCAAAUGCACUUUUAAUUUUAUUUAAAUUCAAUCAAUUAAUGGGUUUAAAUUAAAUCCAAAAUUAAUCAAAACUCAUAAAAAAAAUAUGCAAAUUAACAAUCCCUUGCUUGUUUGAAAAAUUACUUUUCUUCAAACAAUUCUCUAUCUAUCAACUCUAAGGAUUGUAUGCAUAAUACGUGUGACGAACAUUGAACCUUCUCUUAAUAUAAACAACUCAAAGUCAUAGACGGUAUCCGUAGAUUGAACCUCUACUCCAAAAUAACAUGACCGGAGCUGUCAUACACACACAAAACCUCCCUUUACGGUGAGUAUUCUCAUCGCUUUGCGCUAUUAAAGUCAUGUUUCUUGAACCUCCACCAUAACUCUCUAUAAGAAGCGGCUCCCCUUCAAAUUUAUAUAGGCAAAGUGUUUCUCUUGCAUUUCUGUUGCUAAAAGUGCAACACUUUGUUAAGAGCAUAGCUCAUCCUCAGUUGUGCAACAGAAGUUACUAUCGUAAACUACAUAUGAGACCAAGUUCAUCGUAACAAAGUCAAUAAUUGUGACUUGUUUUUUCCAUUGAACCUAUAAACUAGGGGUAACCUAAAUAUAGGUUGGGUUCCCAUCACCCUUGGCUCAUAAUGGUUCAAGUCCCAUAUCUCGUGUAGUCAAACGUAUCAAGUCUCUCGUCAGAGGCUUAGUAAGUGGAUCAACCAAGUUCUUACUUGAUUUCACAUAGACAAUAGUUAUGAUACGAUCAUGCAUCAAUUGUCUCACAAAUUCAUGUCUCAGACCAAUAUGUCUAGACUUAUCAUUAUAGGUACCGCUAUAUGCUUUUGUAAGCAUAGCUUCACUAUCACAAUAUAGUGAAAUUGGAGGCAUUGGAUUUGGCCACUGAUUUAUGUCUAACAACAUAUUUAUAAUCCAAUCAGCCUCUUUUCCUACUUGAGCCAAAGCUAUAAACUCUGACUCCAUAGUAAAGUGAUAAAUACUGACAUCAUCUCGAUAAAUUAUAAGUCAAGCCUUUAAACAUGAACCUAACUUUGUAUUUUUAACUUUUACGAUAAUUGAUUUCAAAACUUGUUUAAUUCAUACCAACUCGGAAUUGGCUCAUCUUUUGACAGUGACCUAUGUAUAACAUGAUCUAACUACCCCCAUAAAUGGUACGAACCCCAAAAUUCUCGUACUCAAAAAGUUCCGGACAACCCUCUUUUUAUUGUUCACUAGCAGAAUAUUUUCAGCACUACCUUGGCACACUACUUAAUUCAUAUUAAUGAAUUUUUGAGUGAUUCUUUCGCCCAUGUCUUUGUAACUUCCCACUCUACAACUUUGCUUUGUAUUUCAUAACCAAAUUCCAAACAUGAUUUUAUAUAACUUUUACAAUAACAGUUCAGAUUAGGAGUUUCUCACUUCAUACUUUCAAUUUCUCUAACUAGUUACCACUUGGAUUAAUUAGCUAGUUUUCAUCUUUUAUGACUUAAUAACAUUGUAUUACAUAAUCAUAAACCUAAACAUGUAUUAUUUCAUGAAUUCUACUCAAGAAUAUAAGAACAUAAACUAAAUUUAUAACAACAUACCUCUUGAAGUGCUAACUUUUCGAUACUUAAAAACGCAAAACUUUAGCUUUCCUUCCUUCUCUCAAUUACCAAUAUAACCCUCUCUUAUGAUUACUCUAGCCUCUUUUACUCUUGAAUUACUUGUGAGUAUGUGAAGAUUUAUUAAGAAUGAGGGUUUUAUUUAUAGGAAAUCAAGACUUAGGGUAUUUAGGAUCUUAAGCCACCCCACCAUGGCUAGAGUCGUCAUAGUGAGUCACAUGCUUCAUCAUCACACUUGGUGAGUCACCAAGCCUAGUCACCUAUGUGCCACAACACACCACACAAUUUUGAACAACACAUUUUAGGAAGCAAAGUCUCAUUUGCCAACUAAUUAAUCAAGGAAAAACUUAUACAUACAUAACUUAUAUGCAUAUAAGCUUUCCUAAAUGGUCAUAACGCCCUCACUCCUCACUUUCUCUACAACCUAACCAAAUUCCACCUAGUUUGGUUAAUCCAACUUAAUUUAUUUUCUAGUUAGUCUUCUAGUUAGGUUUCCUAACUAAUCUGGUUAGUCAAAAAUGUUGACUUUCCCAAAGUUGAUUUUACGUUUUAUGAAUAGUGAUUUAGUGUCUUUUUCGAAAAAAAUUUAUUUUCUUAUUCUUGCAUCGUAAAUAUUCAGGAUAUUACACAAACAUACUGUCACCAUAUAGCCAGAAUUGGUUUUAGAGUAUAUGCAUCUAUCUGAACUAUUAUAUUUAAACCCAAAGUUUAAAAUAGCAGUGUCAACUCUCUCGUGCCACUAUUUUGGUGCUUGUUUUAGACAAUAAAUGGACUUAACUAAUUUGUAUACUUUAGCCUCAUUGCCGGGAGUAACAAACCCUUCAUGUUGUUCCAUAUAUACUUUCUCAUUCAACUUGUCAUUCAAAAAUGUUGUCUUAACAUCCAUUUGAUGAACGUAAAGAUCAAACAAUGAAGCUAAGGCAAAAAUAAUUCGAAUAGAGGUAACUCGUGCCGGUGCAUGAGUAUCAAAGUAGUCAAUAACCUCUACAUGUCUAAAACAUUUUGCUACUAAUCUUGCUUUAAAGGCAGAAAUAGUACCAUUAGUGUUAUAUUUUGUUCUAAAAGCCCAUUUGCACCAUAUGACUAUGUUUGUUUGCAAGAAUUAUACUUAAGAUAUGACUAUUAAUCCCAAGUGUCUUGUUUGUUUUCAAAUUUAGACUUGGGACUAUUAGUCUAGGGAUUAUAAAAUGACUUAAUAGUCUUGAGAUUAUAAUUAUAAUCCCGGGAUUAUAAUCCUAGGAUUAAUAGUCUUGGAAUCCCGGGAUUAUAAUCCUUGCAAACAAACAUAGUUUAUGGGUUUAGAACCUCUAGGUAAAUCUGUUAAUACCCAAGUAUUAUUUCUCAAGAUCGAAUCCAUUUCAUAAUUUACAGCUUCCUUCCAAAAGGCAGCAUCCCUAAAAGCCAUAACUUCUUUAAAUGAUUUAAGAUCAGUCUCAAGUCUAUAUAUAUAGGGUAUUUCAUUCACCAAUUCAUUAUUUUGGUCUCCUUCCACUAAAAAUAAUAAAGACCAAGAAGAAAUGAAAUCAUCAUCCAAAUCUUUAUUUUUUCUAGCUCUAGUACUCCUAGGUCCACUUGGUUAAAUUGGAAAACUAGGUUCUCCAACAUCUUUUGAGAAUUUAUUUUCAAAAAAAUUCACAACCCUUACUCAGUUAUUACAUUAGACUAUAAAUCAAGAAAUCUAUAAGAUUUACUAUUUUCAGCAUAUCCAACAAAUAUACUUCUAAUUGCUCUAGCCCCUAACUUAGUCAUUUUAGGAUCAAGAACUCGAAAAUAAGCUAUACACCCCCACACUUUAUAAUUUAUGUUAGGUCUCCUACCUUUCUAUAUUUCAUAAGGACUAAUUUUUACUACAAUACUAGGAAUCCUAUUUAAAAUAUGACAAGCAGUUAGAAGUGCCUGACCCCAUAAAUUAUUUGACAAACAAGCAUGAUUUAACAUAUAAUUAAUCAUAUCAUGAAAUGUACGAUUUUUUCUUUCUGCUAAACCAUUUUGUUGUGGUGAAUAUGUUGCACUUGUUUGAUAAAUAAUGUCAUUUUCUUCACAAAAUGCAUCAAAAACAUUCAAACAAUAUUCCAUUUCUCUAUCAGAAUGUAAAAUAUCUACUAGUAUCAUCUAUAAAAGUAAUGAAAUAUCGUUUUCCACGCCUUUCAAUAUUCCAUUUAACUCGCAGAUAUCAGUGUGUAUUAAAUCUAACAAUUGUGAUUCUCUAUGCACAUUUGAAAAUAGUUUCCUCACAAUUUUUGAUUUAACACAAAUUUCACAUUUCUCAAGUUCACUAUUGCCAAUAUCAAUUAAUUUCAUUGCAUGCAUAUUUUUCAUCUUUGAAUUUAUGUCCUAAACGACUAUGCCACAAAUAAAUUGCACAAGUAAUAUAAGCAAAAACAAAACUAAUCUUAUUAAUAGAUAAUUUGUACAUUCCAUUACAAGCAUAACCUCUCCAACAAAAACACCAUUCUUUGAAAGAACAACUUUUCUGGACUCAAAAUUUUUUUUAAAGCCUUUCCUAUCUAAAAGAUCAACAUAAAUUAUUUUUUUUCUAAUUUUUGACAUAAAACACACUAAGCAAGGUCAACUUCUUCCUGGAGGUGAAGUUAAUUUCCACAGUUCCUUUGCCAUCAACAUUAGCCCUUGAACUAUUUCCCAUCUAAACUUCUUGUCUAACAACUUUUUUAAAUGUUUUAAGCAUUCCUCGGUUAUUGCAAAUAUGGAAAGUAGCUCCGGAGUCUAACCACCAAUCAUCAGGCUCACUCGCCAUGUUAACCUCAAAAAAUCAUAGUCACAUCAAAACUAAGACUAGAAACCAUGGCAACAAGGUUCUCCUCAACCAUGUUAUCAGAAUCGCUCUUGUGUUGUUUAAAUUCUCUAGCAUAGUGUUCAGUUUCUCCACAAACACGACACUUGCACUUUUAAGAUUAGGCUUUUUAUUUUUCUGUCCAGGUUUCUUGAACUUAUUAUUAUUCUUUUUAACACUAGGUCCUUUCCCUUUUAAAUGAACCUGCUUCCAAAUAGUUAACAAUGGAUUGUCCCUGGUUCAAAUUCUUAGCAUCAUGUUUUAGGGACUCCACAAUACGCAGAUGCUUCUGAAUUUGAUCCAAGGAAAAGUCCUCAAAUUUAUGCAUCAACUUUUUGGCAAAAUCCUUCCAAGAUGGAAGUAACUUUGGAAUUAUUGUGUAAGAUCCCAACUUUUAUGAAUAAAGAUUUAAUUUUCUCUAAAUAUUAUUUUGAAUAGUAAGGUUAUGAUUUAAUAUAAUGUUAUAGUUAUGGGUGAUAUAUGCAAAUUUUGCAAAGUAAACAAAUGGUCAUAAAAUAUUCGUUUGGUCGGGGAAUAUUCGUACGACGACGCAAUCAUUGGUGAACCACAUAGCGGAAUACUGUCAGAUAUAGAAAGCGGUAGAAAUAACCUUUUAUAAAAAAUAACGGCAAGACUUUUACCGUUAAACUGUUGAAAUAUUCGGUGAUAAAAGUAUAGUAAUACGCGUUGUUGCACAGUAGCACACGGUAUUACACAGUAUCUCUGAUUAUUGAUGCUUACGUAAGACUGUAAACGAGCCAACACAGUUCGGGCUUGACUCAAAAAAAUACGAGCGAGACUUGGAUUCGUUAAUAAUAUGAUCCAAAUCUGAGCAUUAAAAAUAGUUCGAAUAAAAAUGAGUAGAAUCUGAAUAAGGUUAUACUCGACUCAUUUAAGAUUCAAACUACUCAAAUUUUUUUAUUGUGAUUCGAUACAUACUCGGUUAAUACAUAUUCGAUUAGAUGUUCGAUACAUUCUCUUAUAAUAUAUACAAAUUUAAAUCAAAUUAGGAUAAUUAGUUAUUAUUUUAUUUUGUUUUUAAUUUUAAUUGUGAUUUUAUAUUUGUAAAGUGUAAUAAUAAAUAUAUUUUCUCAUUUUUAAGUAAAAUAACAAAUUCAAUUUAUAAUAAUAUUUAUUAUAAAACUAGUUAUUAUGUGUAGAUUCGAAUUCGAGUUUGAAUUUGAAGUUCGCGAGUAGUUUGAAUAAAUAUUCGAGUCGAGUAAGAUCGAAUUCGAGUAAUGAAUAUUCGAGUCGAGUCGAAUCUGAGUAGAAAUUUUCAAAUAUAAUUCGAAUUCGAGUACGAAUUUAUCAUUUCGAGUCCAAUUCGAGUAGCUCUCUAUUCGCUCCGGUUCGACUCGUUUACACCCUUACUCAGUCUUAUUCAAUAAUUUCCACAGUAGUUGCUGCAUAGUAUCUUAUAUUAUUGAUUUAAUUAUUGUCACAAUAUCAUCUGCACAAUAUUUUAUAUUAUUAAAUCAAUAAUUGAAACGACACAAUUAUUCAUAUUAUUAUUUGCAUUAUUGACAAUGUCUAGAAAGUUCUGUCGAGGAAAGAGGUUUGGUUAUUUAAUUGCACGCCAGUAAUGAAAAAUCCUUAUCGGAAAACCCCCUCUUUCCUGGGAACGAUCUGAUUGUCAAUAUUGUGAGUUAUAAUAUUAAAUGAUGAAUAAUUGUUGAAAGAUUAAAAAUGUGUUGAUUGAAGAUAAAUGAUUUGUAUUAAAUAUUUAUUCAAUUUUUGAUAUAAAAAGAGGAAUUUGUCCUGAGGCGUUUGUUGUAAGUUUGACAUAUUAUUCCAUGGGAAGAUGUGUUAAUUUUUCGGAUCGUUGGUUGAAGUUAUAAUAAUAAAUCAAUAUGGACCGUUGGUUGAAGUUAUAAUAGUAAAUCAAUAUGGACCACUGGUUGAAGUUAUAAUAGUAAAUCAAUAUGGACCGUCAGUUGAAGUUUUAAUAGUAAAUCAAUCUGGACCACUCGUGAAUUAGUUACUAUUUAGUCCAUUCUCAUAUAAAUAGAAGCUCAUUCCUUCAUUAUUUUUUACGAAUUCACUGAAUCUAUAGAGAGAAAAACUAUAGAAAGAAAAAAGAAGAGUAUUUUGUUACUUCACUAUUGCAGUAUCCAAUCUCCUACUAAGGAGGCGAGAAUGUAGCUGGGACUAGUCGGGGAGUGGAAUAAUGGUCCAAGAUGAUUUUUAUAGUAGUCCUCACUAUUGUGUAAAAUAGUGUGACAAUAAUUGUAAUGAAGACUUUAUUUGAGUUUGGAUAUUGUCUACGAGACAAUAUUUGUAUUAAAAUCCACAGCUUAUGUGUUGUUGUAUUUUGCACGGCAGUUGUAUAAAUAAAGUUGUAUUUGAAUUCUGUACCACGUAUUUGGAGACUCGGAAUGGGUUGUGUGGACCUAUUUUGGGGGCGUCGCAUAUUGCUCCAACUUGAAAAUUUUCACACAAGAUAAUUUUAAGAACCCUCAAUUUGUUAACAAUAACCUGGAGCUCAUGCACUUGCUCCAAAAUAGGUUUAUUUUGAACCAUUUUAAAAUCAAAAUAUUUUGAACAAAUAUUUGUUAAUACCUUCAUCCUCAACUUUGUAUUUAAAUUUCAAGACCUCCCAUUACUCCCUUGGUGACUGAAUAUUGCUGUAAAAAACGUAGAGAUGAUUUGACGUGUUGAGGAUAUGUCCUUGAGCAAGCUCUUCAUCUUCAGUUCUCUUCUUUCUCUGCUCCUUCAGUGUUUUAAUUGCAACAGUGUCUGACUCCUGACCUUGACCUUCUGCUGGUUUUGGAUCUUCUAGAAUAGGCUGAAAGUUGGGGUCCAACACAUACACAAUUUUGAGAAUUAUCAGUAGAAAUUUCAGUUUGUCUUGCCAACGAUUAAAAUUAUUUUUGUCAAAGCAAUCGAGCUUGACAAAGUCUUGGUUCAUGAUUUUGAACGAUAAAUGAAUAAGCACUUUAAGAUUAAAACAAAUUUGUAACACACAGAACGAAUGGAACAGAAAGAAUUUGGCACAGGUAGUUCAUGUUCUUAAAGUGAUUAUUGCCCCUUACCACUAAUAUUUGCUAAAAGUUGUUGGCAAUAUACUUCCAACAUAUAUGUCAAGCCUAUAUAUAUUCACAGUGAUAGCAAUUCACUGAUGAAAAACUCUAUUUCUGCUACUUUGUAAAGGUUGAAAUAUAUAUCAGAGUAUAAGAAGAUGCAGAGAGAAAAGACAGUUUAAUCUGGUUGUCUAGUUCGAGCUUUAUUUAAAAAGAUAGGCUUAUGGCGUCAGACGCUGCUGAGCGGCGAUACGUAUGUGCGAAGUGCCUAGAGCGCCAAUGCGAAACCCGACCCCGGGUGCCGAGACCCAGGUAGGUGGUGCUUUGCGCCACGUCAUUAUGACCAGAUCCAUACCACAAUUAAAUUAAACUAUUCCCUUAUGCUUAUAAAACACUAAAUAGUUUUAUUCCUUAUCGAUGUGGGACUGAAAGGAAAAUAGUUUUUGUAAAGAACAAUGCACCUUUACAUAUACUCCACUUUAGAUAUAAUUAAAAUGCAAUAUAUAGUAGACUAUCAAAUGCACUUUUAAUUUUAUUUAAAUUCAAUCAAUUAAUGGGUUUAAAUUAAACCCAAAACUGAUCAACUCAUAAAGAAAAGAUGCAAAUUAACAUAAACUUCAACAGCAAUCUCAGAUUCCAGGAAUACUGAAUUAAGUCCAUUCACUUCAAUCGUAAGUCAAUUUUUAAAAAAAAGAAAAAGAAAAUGCAAUUCAACGAAACCAGGAUUAAUCUUAAAUCAAGACAAGAAAUAAAACCCUAUAUCUAACUAGGGCUAAAUAAAGUUAAGAGAAAGGAACCAUAGGAGGAUCGGGAAAUGAGGACGAAUCUAAUUGGUGGGUAAUGAAGAAGGCUGCAGCUGGUUCUCCUUGGAAGAAGAUAAAGAGUAAUCAUGAGGAGAAUAGAUAAGGGCGGCGAUCAUGGCUCCCGGAAGCACCGCAUACCUGGCCACCACUGCCAGCUUCGCCACCAACGGCUCUCCCCUCAUAAUAGUCAACAUUUUCUAUCAGUAAUUAUCUUUCUUCUUCUUCUUCUUCUUCUUCUUCUUCUUCUUUUUCUCACCUCGAUCGAUUUGAUUACAAAGCCAAUUUUUCUGCUUUUGGAAAACUAGAAUCCGUAUUUAAUGGCGGAUUAGAUUGGAACAAGUAUCACUUUUUUUACGUCAAAUGAUGACGCGAGCAUGAUCCAGGUUGCUUGUUUAAUGGGCUUGGGCUUAGCUAUUGUGGUUUCAGUAGCCACCCAGCCUGCCGUAACUAAUGC